GCUGGUGGGGCUCAGUGGAUAGAGCAUCAGCCUGCGGACUGAAGGGUCCUGGGUUCGAAUCCUGGGUUCGAAUCCCAGUCAAGGGCA
rnacentral:tRNA from 1 species